rnacentral:rRNA from 1 species
UACGGAGGGGGCUAGCGUUGUUCGGAAUUACUGGGCGUAAAGCGCGCGUAGGCGGACCUGCAAGUCGGGGGUGAAAGCCCGAGGCUCAACCUCGGAACUGCCUUCGAUACUGCGGGUCUCGAGUCCGGGAGAGGUGAGUGGAAUUCCUAGUGUAGAGGUGAAAUUCGUAGAUAUUAGGAAGAACACCAGUGGCGAAGGCGGCUCACUGGCCCGGUACUGACGCUGAGGCGCGGAAGCGUGGGGAGCAAACAGG